CAUUAUCGAUUUUGUGAUGCUUUAUCAUUCUUGGGUGAGCAUAGAAAGGCAUUAGAAGCCAAUGAGAGAGGUCAGGACCAGUGCAGAGAGAAUCCUGAAGGAAUUAAGGGUCUUAUUGAACAACAUCAGAAGCUUAAAAAUCAAAUGGAAGAAGCUAGAGGUAACCAUUUUUUUGUUUAAACUAAUUAUUUUUAUUAAGGCAAAUUGUAAAAUAAAUAUAUAUUGAGUGAAAAUAAAGUUUAUAAUUAUGUGUUCUGUAUGAUAUGAGUUACUCAGUUUUUUAAAUGCGUUUAGGUGUAAAGCAAAAUAAAUACAGACUAAAGAAACAACUGUUGCAGAAAAAUUCUUCAGAAUACGUGUCAUUUGGUAACCAAGAAUCAAGGAAAGAAACCAAGAAUCACAACGAAAACAAAAAACUAUGUGAUUCUCAUCACCAUCCAUGUCAGCAGAAGCAAACAACUGUAAGCUAUAAACCAAUGUAUUAGUGAAAGAACAUAAAGCUGAUCUUGAGAAUAGAAAAGGAGUGACUGAGCUGUUAAGGGAGGGGUCUACGAAAAGAUUAUUUGGUCAUGAGAAAUAUGAAAGCAGGAAAAAGAAACUCACCUUGAAUUUGAUGAAUAUAAAUCGAAACAGAGAGACUUAGACAAGCUUACAAGACUGAUGUCAGCCCAUUCAGG
rnacentral:lncRNA from 1 species